GCACUUGUAGCUCAGCUGGAUAGAGCACGACUUUGCGGAAGUCGGGGUCAGAGGUUCGAAUCCUCUCAAGUGCA
rnacentral:tRNA from 1 species